GAGCAGCCUCUCUGUUGAUAAUAUAAUAGCAAAGAAGGUGUUAAGCUGCUCAUAUAUUGAUCACCUUUUGUCCUUCAGACUCCUGAGGCGUUUCCUUGAAGCUGGUCCAGUAAGCCUAAGCACGAU